rnacentral:rRNA from 1 species
UACGGGGGGGGCAAGCGUUGUUCGGAAUUACUGGGCGUAAAGGGUGCGUAGGCGGUUCACUAAGUUGGAUGUGAAAACUAUGGGCUCAACUCAUAGCUUGCAUCCAAUACUGAUGGACUAGAGUUCUGGAGGGGGUAGCGGAAUUCCGAGUGUAGAGGUGAAAUUCGUAGAUAUUCGGAAGAACACCAGUGGCGAAGGCGGCUCACUGGACUGGUAUUGACGCUGAGGUGCGAAAGCGUGGGGAGCAAACAGG